UACGUAGGGCGCAAGCGUUGCCCGGAAUUAUUGGGCGUAAAGAGCUCGUAGGCGGCCUGUUACGUCUGCUGUGAAAUCCCGGGGCUUAACCCCGGGCGUGCAGUGGAUACGGGCAGGCUGGAGGCAGGCAAGGGAGAACGGAAUUCCCGGUGUAGCGGUGAAAUGCGCAGAUAUCAGGAGGAACACCGGUGGCGAAGGCGGGUCUCUGGGCAGUAACUGACGCUGAGGAGCGAAAGCGUGGGGGAGCGAACAGG
rnacentral:rRNA from 1 species